rnacentral:lncRNA from 1 species
GGCGACCGGAGCGACGAAGACAAAGCCACAAUGGUUGCGAGCCGCACAACUAUCGCUGCGAGGCACACGUUGCUCUGUUUUUCCCCUGUGUAUGCACGUGUGGUUUGCUGAGAGGGAAGUUCGCGCAAGUCUAUCGAUCAUGCAGCGCGCGACGAUGCCCUUUCCACCGCUCCAUGCCAGUCCGCGGCGUGCACCCCAUCAGUACAACAACGUCAGGCAGUUCCCGUUCCAGCUACGCAUGCAAGAUGUCAUCAUAGGCCAAAGGCUUUGAAGUACCUACGUCGCUCCAAACUCAUUCAUGACCACUUUGCUAACCGAUGCACAUAUGAACGUACAUGUGGCUGGAGAGUGAGAGAUAGAAGUAGAUGGAGAGAUACAAAGAGUAUGACUUUUGUUUGAGCGUGAGCGAUCAUAUGACCCGUGAACAUGACAUAUUCGUAAUGUUAUACGGAGCUACAAUUUGCAACGCAAAAUAUAGUGUACAGCAUUCUACACAUCACAAACGAUGCUGAGGUCAGAAACUCUUUUGGAAACAAAUGCAGCUUUUCAUAGGAUCAUCAAUUGCGAGUAGCCAAAGUAAGAGAAACCAAAUUAAGCGACGAUAACUUCAACAACAAAGAGUACAUGAAUUACUAGAGGACAAGCCCACAUUAGGUAAGAAGUACGCACACAUAAACCACGGCCGGAUCAACACGGCAAAUUAUUACAGUACGCAGGACACAGAAGCUAACGAGCGCUGCCCACGCGACUAGCCAGAUUGAACGGGCUUGUCCUGCGAUCCUUCUGCUGCUGGCUCUGCCUCCGGCUCUCCUGUGCCCUCCCCCGGCACCGGCACGCCGUUGGACGAGCUGGCUCCUCCUUUGCUGCUACCUACACUGUACGCACCUUCCCCGUACCCGUACCCGUAGUAUUGUUGGGCCACGACCCGUUCUCCGCCGAACACAUGGCACUGGCCGCCGACGUUGGACCGCACGGGCGUUAUCCCGACAGUGUAACCCUGCACUAGAGCCCGGGGCGCGUAGACGCCCCGCUGCAUCUGAACCUGCACCGGAGCUGGGGGAGUGUACAUGGGCCACUUCACUUGAUUCUGAACCGGCAUCGGAGCUAGGGGCGCAUAAACUGGCCGCUGCAUCUGAUUCUGAACCUGCACUUGAGCCGGAGGCGCGUACACCGGAUGCUGUAUCUGAGCCUGUAGCGGCACGGCGUGGCGCAUGGGCGGGGCCGCGCGGGAAGGUGCACUCAUCACAGUGCGCCUGUCGCCUGCAGCGGCACCACCUGUCGCCGCAUUGGGGUCGCGCAUGCGGUGCAGAAACACACUGAGGGGCACGACGUAGUCGUCAAAACCGAGGCAGUUUAGGGCCCACAAGAUAUCUUCGGCGUUGACGGUCUUGCGAUGCUCCAUGUGGCACCGCUCGUUGGCCUCGCCGGUGACGAAGCUGAUGAACUCCGACACACACUCCUGGAUCGCUUCCUUGGCGUCAUCGGAGAUCUUGGCAUGGGCAGGGAGCGCGCGACGCAUGAUGCGGAUCACGUUCGCGAUGGGCAUCAGCUGGUCCUGCUCCCUCACCGCCGGGGUCGCCUGGGUAGGCGCCGGCGCCGCUGCUCCGUUGAGGAUGUCGGCGUUCUCCAUGGCUAGAGCAAGCCAAGGUGCAAUGCAAGUAGUCGCACUUGCCUUUAGGGCUUUGCUGGUUGAGUUGUAAGUGUUGUGCUUCUGAUCGACUUGUUUCAGUGUGUUAAAUAGGCUGAGAUAGGUAUAGGUGCUGGCUUAGCUGUGCUUUGUGUUUCCGAUCAAACGGACAAGUGUCCAUUUUGUUGAGAGGUUCUGGCAAAGACAUCACCUUUAACAGAUAAUGUACUCCUGUAUGAGACUAUUAAUCAGAGGAAAACGAUAAAUCAUGUGUAAAUGUGAUUAUAACCGUUGGUGGUGAGGGCUAUAAAUGUACAUAGUUUUUUUCCUUUCUUUUCUCAUGACGUGUAGACAGGUCAUCUUGAAACUGAAAUGGUACAUUAAACACAAGGCAACAAAGGUACAACAUAAUGACAAGCAAAUCAGUGGCAACACAGGAUUUUGAAGAUGAAUAUCCAGAACAAGAAAAAUGUAUGAAAUUACAAGAAAGUAAGAGAUUGAAUAGGUAAUCAAAUCUAUAAAAUUGCAAGGAAACAAUUUACAUGGAAAAAGAGACUGCGUCUAAAAUAAAAUCUAUCAAACCAAAAAAAAUACUAUAUUUUUAGUAAAUUUAUAAGCAAAUGAACAUUAAGUAGAAGGUGUGUAGUAAUGUCAAAAAUAUAUAACAGAAGUGAAAGAGAGAAGAAAAAAAAAGAUACAAUAAAAAGAGAAAAGUAUAAGCAAAAAGUUACAAUAUAUGCUGAAAUAAAUGCUAUUAGGACAUACUUAAUUAAACCAAGACCUCUUACUUCCAUGUCACAGGCUUAAUACUCUCUUACAUAGAUCCAAGCUCAGAUACAAGUGGAUACAGAAAUCUCAGGCAGCAAGAAGGAGGAUUCGAGAGGAGAGCCUGGAGGUGGGAGAGGGGAAUCCGCCACAGGCGGCCGGGUCUAGGGUUCUGAUCUUUCUCGAUGCCUCCACACUCUCAGUUGGGAGCUACAUAUACACCCACUCACUUAGUCCAGGUCGGCCCAGUGUAGCGUGAGUUGGGCUGGGCCAGCCAUCUGGGCCGACUGGGCUCCACUUGAGUCUUCUGGGCUUCGGGGUCUUCACCUGUUUUCAUGAAAUUUCGCCGCCGUUUACAUUUGGCUUGUCCCCAAGCCAAAGCUCGAGGGAAGCGCGUCCGAAGCGGCACCAGGUCUUCCCAAGUUGCCAGAGAUGUGGGGAAACCAGACCAGUGAAUCUUCCCUUGUUCCACCUGACGAUGUACCCACGGAAGUUGCUGAACUCUUGCAAGAGUUUGAUUCGCUCUUUGAGGAGUCGCGGGGAUUGCCACCGCAGAGGGAGUUUGAUCAUGUAAUUGAACUUAUACCAGGGGCUAAGCCGGUGAACCUGAGGUCGUAUCGUUACAACCAGCCCAAAAAGAUGAGAUUGAGAAAAUCGUGGCUGACAUGCUAGCUCAAGGGAUCAUUCAGCCCAGCAAAGAGUCCGUUUGCAUCGCCGAUUUUAUUAGUUCUCAAAAAGGAUGGUGAAUGGAGGUUCUGUGUUGAUUAUCGCCACUUGAACGCGAUCAUGAUUAAAAACAGAUUUCCAAUGCCAAUUAUAGAUGAACUCCUUGACGAAUUGGCUGGUGCUGCUUGGUUCACUACUCUGGAUCUGCGUUCCGGCUAUCAUCAGAUCCGUAUGCGCCCUUAAGAUGAAGCAAAAACAGCGUUCCAAACCCACCAUGGCCAUUUCGAGUUUAAAGUUAUGCCCAACGGAGUCACAGGGGGGCCUUCCACAUUCCAGAAUGGCAUGCACAUCAUGUUGGGUCCUCUGCUACGCAAAGGAGUGCUCGUCUUUAUUGACGACAUACUCAUUUAUAGCCGCACUUUGGAAGGGCAUCUACUGUUGCUUCGAUCGGUAUUUCAAAGGUUGCAGCAGUACUCACUGAAGGUGAAGCUGAGCAAAUGUACUUUCUGUUGCCCGCAACUAAAGUAUCUCGGUCAUGUAGUUAGUGCGGAAGGAGUGCGCACGGACCCCAACACGGUGGACAAGGUGCGUGAUUGGCCAAGGCCAGGCACAGCCAAGGAAGUGAGGAAAUUCUUGGGUUUAGCGGGUUAUUACCGGAAGUUCGUCCGCAACUAUGGUGUCAUUAGCAGACCACUGACUAAUUUGCUGAAGAAGAACAUUGUCUUCGUCUGGACAUCGUUGCAUGAAGAGGCUUUUGUUGCACUCAAAACAGGACUGACCACAGCCCCGGUCUUGGCUCUUCCAGAUCUUUCAAAGCCGUUUAUUCUGGAGACGGAUGCAUCAGAUUGUGGUAUCGGAGCUGUGCUCAUGCAGGAGUAGCACCCUAUCGCCUUCCUCAGCAAAGCACUAGGCCCCAAAUUGCAAACUCUAUCCACCUAUGAGAAAGAAUGCUUGGCCAUUCUAAUGCCAAUCGAUCGCUGGAUGCCGUACUUGCUCUUGUCGGCUUUCACCAUCCGCACUGACCACAGGAGCUUGUCGUGCUUGGAUGAGCAGUGCCUCACUACCUCGUGGCAACAUAAAGCUUUAACAAAACUCCUGGAUCUCCAAUACACCAUUGAGUAUCGGAAGGGUGCUACCAAUCAUGCAGCGGACGCCCUGUCACGCCGAUUGAAUCAUUCAGAUCAAGCUCUGGCUUUAACUGUGUGUGUGCCAAUGUGGCUACAGGCAGUGAAAGAAGGAUGCCACAAUGACCCACAAUGUACUCGGCUGUUGGCAGCCGUAGUUGAGUAGGACCCUCUCGAGCAUCCAUUCUCUGUCCAAGAUGGGUUGAUCAGAUACAAAGGGCGAGUUUGGAUUGGACACAACACUACGGUCCAACAAAUGCUCUUGCAAGAAUUCCAUGCCAGUGCAUUGGGUGGCCACUCCGGAGUCCAAGCUACCUACAAUCGACUUGUGAAGCUCUUUGCUUGGCCAAAGUUGAAGCAAACAGUCAAAGAGUUUGUGAACCAAUGCACGGUCUGCAAACAAGCAAAACCAGAACAUGUCUGCUACCCUGGACUCCUCCAACCGCUGCCUGUUCCUGAGCAAGCUUGGCAAAUGGUGACUCUAGACUUUGUCGAAGGACUCCCCAAAUCACAUGGCUAUGAUGUGAUUCUGGUGGUUGUGGACAAAUUGACUAGGUAUGCUCAUUUCAUACCACUCAAACACCCCUUCACGGCGCUGCACGUGGCCAAGGCAUAUAUGGACUAUGUCUUUAAGCUCCAUGGACCCCCGGAUGCUCUGGUGUCAGAUCGUGAUCAAAUUUUCACAAGUAAAAUCUGGAAAGAGUUGUGCCGUUUGUCUCACACUACACUGAACAUCUCCUCAGCAAGGCACCCGCAGACAGAUGGGACGUCGGAAAGGGUCAAUCAAUGCAUGGAGAUCUACCUCAGGUGUUUUGUGCAUAACUGUCCAAAGCGUUGGAAAGAGUGGCUCUCUCUUGCAGAAUUUUGGUACAAUACCUCUUACCACUCCACGCUCAAGACUACUCCCUUUGAGGUGCUCUAUGGUCAUCUGUGGAAGUCACGGCUGAGUGCCUUCAGCUUGUCAUCUGUGGAAGUCACGGCUGUUGCACUUCUGGCACCAUCUGAGUUACGCCGCCCUUCGGUCGCUGUUGGACUGGGCAACGAUGAGGUGCCCGUUUUGCUGGUUGAGGCCCCAACAGGAGGGAGUGACAGGUUUGGCUUCGGGGAGAACCGGUGCCCUUUUGCCAUUGUGCCCAGCGAGCGUUGCCCUGUCAUUUCCAUAUUUUCCUCCCGCAAUAAUUCCAUAGCUUCUUCCUGCAAUUCAGCAAGAGCCACAGCAGUAUCCAAGUCGGACGGUGUAACAUUACUGCAACUUUAAUGUCACUUUGCAAACCAUCUAAAAACUGGGUAGUAAAGAACAAAGGAUCCCAAGAACUAUGAUGAGCUAAGAGACUAUGCAUAGCAACAUUGAAUUGUUCAGCAUACUCUAAGACACUACCAGUUGGUUUUAAUCUAGAGAAUUUGCGAAGCAUCUGUUGAAAUUCAGAUUUACCAAAUUUCUCUAACAUUGCAGCAACAAAAUACUCCCACUAUGGAAACUUAAUAUGCGAUUUGGACCAUUCCAACCACAAGGCUGCCGCCCCAAUAAAGUGCACCACGGCAGUAUCGACCCAAGCAGGUGGUUCAAUGGAACAAACCCUGAAAUAUGCUUCACACUUGAUGCGCCACCCUGUAGGGUUGUCUCCAUCGAACUCUGGACAAUCCAAUUUGGAUGCCGCAGAAUGAUGGAUGGCACUCGGAACGGUGUCCCCACUCGGACCCAACAGAGGAACUGUAGGAAAGGUAGUACGGAACACACUGUUGGCCGGGAUAGGCGCCGGGGGCACCGUGCCCCCAAGGACCGGAUCCCGUGUCGUCAUUGCAGCAUCGCGGCUAAUUAGCCCGUGGCCGUCGCCACCCAGGGCCGAAGGAGAGAGAGGCGCGCCCGCCAGGAGCGGCCCUGUAGUGUUCAUUGGGGUCGCCGGGGCACCGAUGAGGAGCGGGCUUGACGCGAUUUUGGAGAGCUCGGCGCGGAUCUCGCCCAUGUCGAGCUGUAGCUUGCCCACCGCGUGGUCGACGCUGGGCCGCCAAUCCGCCAGGUCGUUGACCGUAGGCUCGAUCGACGCGAGCAGGGGCUCCAUCUUGGAGACAGCCGGCUCGAUUUUGUCCAAGGACUUCUGGAUCGCCAACAACGCCUUGGCAAUGGCUCCGCGCUCCUCCGCCGCCGCCGUCAUCUGCUUCUGCAGAUCCAGCUCCGCCAUCACCUCCUCGAGUUUGCGGGUGCGUUGGGGUACCAGAUUUGGAAAUAGGGGGGGAUCGAGUGGCAAUCUGAUACCAAAUGUCACAGGCUUAACACUCUCUUACAUAGAUCCAAGCUCAGAUACAAGUGGAUACAGAAAUCUCAGGCAGCAAGAAGGAGGAUUCAAGAGGAGAGCCUGGAGGUGGGAGAGGGGAAUCCGCCACAGGCGGCCGGGUCUAGGGUUCUGAUCUUUCUUGAUGCGUCCACACUCUCUGUUGCGAGCUACAUAUACACCCACUCACUUAGUCCAGGUCGGCCCAGUGUAGCGUGAGUUGGGCUGGGCCAGCCUUCUGGGCCGACUAGGCUCCACUUGAGUCUUCUGGGCUUCGGGGUCUUCACCUGUUUUCAUGACAUUCCAUGCAUAAUAAACAAACAACUAAGCUACCGUAAUACCUCUAUUUUGAAUUUGUUUUCUUAAUUAGAUCGUGGCUACAAGACAUGGUGGUAUUUACGUAUUAGCAUUUUUGACCAAUACAUUUUGAUAUUGAAAUCAUGAUUGGAUUGCUCCCAAGUCAAAUGGAAACGAGUAUCAGCAAUCUCAGAAACCAUGAAGCCUCAACAAAAUAUGGGCGUAGGUGCAUGGACAAAUGAUAAGGCACCCAUUCUUUUGUGAAAAAGAUCUUCACAUGCUUUAUUGUGGUCUCCAAGAUAUUAACAACAAAUUUACAUUGUGGAACUACUCAAUGACAAAUUUAAUAGCUUCUACUUAAUUUCCAUGCAAACAAGAAAAGAAGAGAAAAACUACUUUACCACAAUUUGAUUAUAUGGUUAUUAGGACUUCAAUUUUUUUAAAGAACCCAAUAUAUUCCCUCUGUAAACUAGUAUGAGACAUAUUUGCAGUUCAAAUUUGAACUGCAAAAACAUUUAGUUCAAAUUUGAACUAUAAAUAUGUCUUAUAUAAUUGUACAGAGGUAAUAUUACUUAAUGAUCACUAGUAGAAAACAGGGAACUACUCCCGGUUCUAGAGGGUCUUUAGUGCUGGACUCGUGUAGGGUGGAUGCAUGCUCGUGCUAGGUGUGUCACAUGAGUGAGACAUUCCACAUGGUCUUGGUGCACGCAUGAUAAGUUGCGCUGUAGUAUAUUUGACAAGUUACUACCUAGCAUCCGGAGUUUGUAUACCAUUAUGUCAAGUGAACUACGAGUGCUUUCUCUUUGGGUAAAUGUUGAGUGGCUGAUCCAUCCUUACGUUGGUCGCUUCCCUCGCCGCUCACACAAUCACAUGUCCCCACCCAUACCACACACACCUUAUCUCCUAUUUUGGAAAUUUCUCUCCCUCUUCAUAUCUCCGCCGAAUAAACUACCCCCUCUUCUCUCUCCCCCUCCCCUUCUCUUCGUGUCCCUCUUUGUGCGGCUUGUGACUUCUACAAGUGGCCAACCCUUGACCCACUCAAUCCAGGAGUGUCCUUUAUUCACUACUUCCGGUGCUACGUCAUCACCCCUACCCGCAUGGCCGCUGCAACAGUUUGUGAGCGAAUCAUCGCCUUCUUCGUGCCCACACUCGUCGAGAGUCAGGUUCCUCUCCUCCCUACACACUCCCUCACUCACUCAUUCACUCACUCGCCCACUCACUCUCUCUCUCUCUCUCUCCGUCUCUUUCCCUCUCUUUCUGUGUAUGUGCGUGUGUGUGUGUCUCAUGCUUGCACGCGCAUUGCCAGCGUCGAUCACCACUUUCCUUGUCCAUUGCGAGGCAACCUUGGCUCCUGCAUAGUCUGAGGGCAUUGGUGCGAGGCUGACCAGCUGCACGGUCGGCAGAUGGUCAUGUGAUGAUGCGGGUUGCACUAUUCUGAGUUGUAAGCACUGAUAUGGUGUCCUUCAAGUGGCGGGCUGGGCUACAAGCGGCGGCUGGCCGUUAUACGAGGGUGACUGUCGAUGUUACGAUCAGCGACAAUGAUGAUGCAACCGUGUGGUGGCUAUUGCGAGUGGCAAGAGAUGAUCGAUGAGUGUUCUGGGCGUGAGGGUGGUGUUGCUAUGGUGACUUGCCUUGUAUGCUAAUAGGCCGAGAGGUGAAUGGUACGAUAACGAACGGCUGAAUGGGCGAGGAUGACGAUGUUGUGAAGGGGGGCAAUGGAUCAUGCGACGACGGGAUGUGUCUGUGGAGGGUUGUGAUGUUGCGACCACGGGUAGUGGAUGCUGCAAGCGGAGUGGAGAAUGAUGCAAGAGCCCAGUGGCGCUACGACGGUGGGCGACCCGAGCGACGAAGACAAAGCCACAGUGUUUGCGAGCCGCACAACUAUCACUGCAAGGCACACGUUGAUGUGUUUUUCCCCUGUGUAUGCACGUGUGGUUUGCUGAGAGGGAAGUUCGCGCAAGUCUAUCGAUCAUGCAGCGCGCGACGAUGCCCUUUCCACCGCUCCAUGCCAGUCGGCGGCGUGCACCCCAUCAGUACAACAACGUCAGGCAGUUCCCUUUCCAGCUACGCAUGCAAGAUUUCAUCACAGGCCAAAGGCUUUGAAGUACCUAUGUCGCUCCAAACUCAUUCAUGACCACUUUGCUAACUGACGCACAUAUGAACGUACAUGUGGCUGGAGAGUGAGAGAUAGAAGUAGAUGGAGAGAUACAGAGAGUAUGACUUUUGUUUGAGCGUGAGCGACCAUAUGACCCGUGAACAUGACAUAUUCGUAACGUUAUACGGAGCUACAAUUUGCAACGCAAAAUAUUG